CUCACACCAGGGACUGGCAGAGCGCGCAGGCGCGGUGCACACAAGGCCGUGGAGCAGACGUUAGGCCUCAUAAAGCUUAUAAGCAAAGAAAAUCUUCCCUUUCCAGGAAGCAAAGUCUGGUAGACAUAGGGAUUGUCAAGAUCUCAAGAUGCCCCCCUUCCCACCCCCAUGGUCAGUUCUGUGCACACAUCUCUCACAGCAGAGAACAGGGAAGGGCCAGCAGGGGUAGGGGCUGCUUUUGUUCACCAAGCCCCAUUUCAUCCAGAAUGCCAAUGCAUAUGGAGCUCCAGAGUUCUGGAACUAGGCGAACAUACAAGUGGAGGCUUCAGCUAGCCUCAGAUGGAAGAUGGAGGCAGGAAGGACAUCAGAGCCCAGGAGGGCAACUGGAGCCACAGGCUGCCUCUCUCCCAGCAGCUCUACGAAGUUCUGGCUGAAAAGUUAUCCCAG
ensembl:lncRNA